rnacentral:rRNA from 1 species
UACGGAGGGUGCGAGCGUUUGUCCGGAAUCACUGGGCGUAAAGGGUGCGUAGGCGGGUCUUUUAAGUCAGGGGUGAAAUCCUGGAGCUCAACUCCAGAACUGCCUUUGAUACUGAGGAUCUUGAGUUCGGGAGAGGUGAGUGGAACUGCGAGUGUAGAGGUGAAAAUUCGUAGAUAUUCGCAAGAACACCCAGUGGCGAAAGGCGGCUCACUUGGCCCGAUAACUGACGCUGAGGCACGAAAGCGUGGG